UAGCAUAUCAAUAAGCGGAGGAAAAGAAACCAACAGGGAUUGCCCUAGUAACGGCGAGUGAAGCGGCAACAGCUCAAAUUUGAAAUCUGGCUCUCGGGCCCGAGUUGUAAUUUGUAGAGGAUACUUUUGAUGCGGUGCCUUCCGAGUUCCCUGGAACGGGACGCCAUAGAGGGUGAGAGCCCCGUCUGGUUGGAUGCCAAAUCUCUGUAAAGUUCCUUCAACGAGUCGAGUAGUUUGGGAAUGCUGCUCUAAAUGGGAGGUAUAUGUCUUCUAAAGCUAAAUACCGGCCAGAGACCGAUAGCGCACAAGUAGAGUGAUCGAAAGAUGAAAAGCACUUUGAAAAGAGAGUUAAAAAGUACGUGAAAUUGUUGAAAGGGAAGCGUUUAUGACCAGACUUGGGCUUGGUUAAUCAUCUGGGGUUCUCCCCAGUGCACUUUUCCAGUCCAGGCCAGCAUCAGUUUUCCCCGGGGGAUAAAGGCGGCGGGAAUGUGGCUCUCUUCGGGGAGUGUUAUAGCCCACCGUGUAAUACCCUGGGGGGGACUGAGGUUCGCGCAUCUGCAAGGAUGCUGGCGUAAUGGUCAUCAACGACCCGUCUUGAAACACGGACCAAGGAGUCGUCUUCGUAUGCGAGUGUUCGGGUGUCAAACCCCUACGCGUAAUGAAAGUGAACGCAGGUGAGAGCUUCGGCGCAUCAUCGACCGAUCCUGAUGUUCUCGGAUGGAUUUGAGUAAGAGCAUACGGGGCCGGACCCGAAAGAAGGUGAACUAUGCCUGUAUAGGGUGAAGCCAGAGGAAACUCUGGUGGAGGCUCGCAGCGGUUCUGACGUGCAAAUCGAUCGUCAAAUAUGGGCAUGGGGGGCGAAAGACUAAUCGAACCUUCUAGUAGCUGGUUUCCGCCGAU
rnacentral:rRNA from 1 species